GAAGGAACCCUGCUUUGCUUGGAGGGGAGGAAAUGAACUGACGGGCGCUGGCUGCUGGCGUUCGAGCACCGGCUGUGGCUCAGUCGAAAAGGGCGCGGUUCUUGCCAGUUCACCUCCUCCAAAGCAGGUGACAAAAAAAACAAAAAUCAACCAGCUGAUGGAGGGACACUGAUACCUACACAACAACCAUGAACAAUACUAGACAGACACACACUACCAUGUUGACACCACUUAGCAUUCAGCUGGUGUCUGGACGCACCCACCCCACCAUGGUGCCCUCUUGCGUCAUAAUCUAUGAGGACACCCCAAAUACACCUGUUUGUCCUGGACCGCAAUAUGGGUCAUCGAAUCUUCUUUCUGGUCUCGCCUAGUGAUGGCCUUGAUGUCGGAGCUGGGAUUGCCUAGCUGUAGCACCAGUCCUGCAAUGGUACCGACCCUGCUUGUCGUCUACCCUAUUUCCUGUCCGUCCGUCUGAUGGAUGUUGUUGGUCAACGCUAAAACAAGGUGGACAUCUAUGAUGGAGCAAGGGCCCCCACGUACCUUUUACUGAAACCUUCCUGGCCUAUGGAAGUUUUGUGUCAGGUAGCUGUCUGUCCGUCCGUCUAAGUCAAGCGUAUUGUCCUGUUUUAUGUAUGGGAAAAGGGCUCUGAUAGAGGGUACCUUUGGCGUUGUCGGCUGACCAACGCUGUGCUGUUAUCGCCUGGUUGGCUGAUGUUCCAACGUCGGGACAGUGGAGGUGGAGUUUUGGGUUUUUUAAGUAUUUACUUUCUUCGUUUUAUCUUAUUUAUUUACAGAUAACUUAAUUUUCCUUUCUUUUCAGGUUAAUGUUUUUUUUUUCUCUUUUCAGGUAUCGUUUUUUUUUCAGGUGUUUAGUGUUUUCUUCCCUUACAGGUUUUUACGUUCCUGUCUUUUUCUUUAUUUAUUUCCACUUGGGUCUCACUCCACCUCCGGUAAGCUUGCUGUCCAUAACCAAAAAGAACGCUUCAUCUUCGGGACUCUAGCCAGCUUGGCUUUGGUUGGUCUCCAUCAUGAAGUUGGUCUUCCAGCCGGCACCAACAAAACAUAUGGGGGCAGCCAUAAUGACAGGUUGGUGUCAGCUGGUUGUCUCCCUCUCCCUGAUGAGGGCCAACCAUAGCCAGUAGGUGUCGCUGGAGUAAGGCAAGUCACAACCAGGUGGCGCUGUAGCGCCAUUAUUCGGCGCACACCACAAACCCAACCACCCUGCCGA